CUCGGUAAAUUUUGGAACUCAUACUGCCUUUUUUUCCUCUACUAUAUAUAUAUAUAUAUAUACAGGCCUUCUCAGCUGCGGACGGCCGCACCGUACAAACGUCCGCACCUUAAAGCGGUGCGAACGUCCGCACCUUAAAGCGGUGCGAACGUCCGCACCUGAGAAUCUCUGUAUAUAUAUAUAUAUAUAUAUAUUUAUUUAUAACAUCUGUCAUUUUAUUAUGGGUUUCCUUUGUAUGUAUUUCAUUAAUGUAACAACUGAAAGAAAUACGUACUGAAGUUGCUGGAAUGUUCUUUUUUCUGUAUGUUGAUAGUGCUGGAUAUAGUUACUUAAUGAUAUAUUUUAUAUUUUCUAAAAUAUCUGUUUUAAUUUUUUAGUGUUUCUCUUCUAAUUUUAUGUUUCUUUCUUCAUGUAUCUAUGUCAAAACUCAGUUUAAAGUAAUUUC
rnacentral:lncRNA from 1 species